rnacentral:rRNA from 1 species
GCUAAUGACGGUACCUGAAGAAUAAGCACCGGCUAACUACGUGCCAGCAGCCGCGGUAAUACGUAGGGUGCAAGCGUUAAUCGGAAUUACUGGGCGUAAAGCGUGCGCAGGCGGUUUUGUAAGUCUGUCGUGAAAUCCCCGGGCUCAACCUGGGAAUUGCGAUGGAGACUGCAAGGCUAGAAUCUGGCAGAGGGGGGUAGAAUUCCACGUGUAGCAGUGAAAUGCGUAGAGAUGUGGAGGAACACCGAUGGCGAAGGCAGCCCCCUGGGUCAAGAUUGACGCUCAUGCACGAAAGCGUGGGGAGCAAACAGGAUUAGAUACCCUGGUAGUCCACGCCCUAAACGAUGUCUACUAGUUGUCGGGUUUUAAUUAACUUGGUAACGCAGCUAACGCGUGAAGUAGACCGCCUGGGGAGUACGGUCGCAAGAUUAAAACUCAAAGGAAUUGACGGGGACCCGCACAAGCGGUGGAUGAUGUGGAUUAAUUCGAUGCAACGCGAAAAACCUUACCUACCCUUGACAUGUACGGAAGCCACGAGAGAUCGAGGCGUGCUCGAAAGAGAGCCGUAACACAGGUGCUGCAUGGCUGUCGUCAGCUCGUGUCGUGAGGUGUUGGGUUAAGUCCCGCAACGAGCGCAACCCUUGUCAUUAGUUGCUACGAAAGAGCACUCUAAUGAGACUGCCGGUGACAAACCGGAGGAAGGUGGGGAUGACGUCAAGUCCUCAUGGCCCUUAUGAGUAGGGCUUCACACGUCAUACAAUGGUACAUACAGAGGGCCGCCAACCCGCGAGGGGGAGCUAAUCCCAGAAAGUGUAUCGUAGUCCGGAUUGUAGUCUGCAACUCGACUACAUGAAGUUGGAAUCGCUAGUAA